rnacentral:tRNA from 1 species
GGGGUGUUAUGACAAGGUUCAAAGCUUCUAACCUUAUUCCAAGCGGUUAAAUUCCGUUUAUACUCCU